rnacentral:tRNA from 1 species
GGGCGCAUAGCUCAGUUGGUAGAGCGGCUGACUCUUAAUCAGCGGGUCCCAGGUUCGAGUCCUGGUGCGCUCA